UGGGGAAUCUUAGACAAUGGGGGAAACCCUGAUCUAGCCAUGCCGCGUGAGUGACGAAGGCCCUAGGGUCGUAAAGCUCUUUCAGCUGUGAAGAUAAUGACGGUAGCAGCAGAAGAAACCCCGGCUAACUCCGUGCCAGCAGCCGCGGUAAUACGGAGGGGGUUAGCGUUGUUCGGAAUUACUGGGCGUAAAGCGCGCGUAGGCGGAUUAGUUAGUCAGAGGUGAAAUCCCAGGGCUCAACCCUGGAACUGCCUUUGAUACUGCUAGUCUUGAGUUCGAGAGAGGUGAGUGGAAUUCCGAGUGUAGAGGUGAAAUUCGUAGAUAUUCGGAGGAACACCAGUGGCGAAGGCGGCUCACUGGCUCGAUACUGACGCUGAGGUGCGAAAGCGUGGGGAGCAAACAGGAUUAGAUACCCGUGUAGUCC
rnacentral:rRNA from 1 species